rnacentral:rRNA from 1 species
GACGAACGCUGGCGGCGUGCUUAACACAUGCAAGUCGAGCGAUGAAACACCUUCGGGUGCGGAUUAGCGGCGAACGGGUGAGGAACACGUGAGGAAUCUGCCUUCCACUCUGGGAUAACUCCGGGAAACCGGGGCUAAUACCGGAUACUUUCAACUGGCGGCAUCGCCGGUUGAAGAAAGUUCUUCGGUGGAAGAUGACCUCGCGGCCUAUCAGCUUGUUGGUGAGGUAAAGGCUCACCAAGGCGACGACGGGUAGCCGGCCUGAGAGGGCGAACGGCCACACUGGGACUGAGACACGGCCCAGACUCCUACGGGAGGCAGCAGUGGGGAAUAUUGGGCAAUGGAGGAAACUCUGACCCAGCGACGCCGCGUGAGGGAUGAAGGCCUUCGGGUUGUAAACCUCUUUCAGCAGGGAAUAAGCGAAAGUGAAGGUACCUGCAGAAGAAGCACCGGCUAACUAUGUGCCAGCCGCCGCGGUAA